rnacentral:rRNA from 1 species
GACGAACGCUGGCGGCGUGCUUAACACAUGCAAGUCGAACGAGAAAGGCUCUUCGGAGCUGAGUACAGUGGCGAACGGGUGAGUAACACGUGGGCAACCUGCCCCAUGGAGCGGGACAACCCGGGGAAACCCGGGCUAAUACCGCAUGAUUCGUACGGUCAUAAGUCCGUACGGGAAAUGGUAGCUUCGGCCUCCGCCAUGGGAUGGGCCCGGGGCGCAUUAGCUUGUUGGGGAGGUAACGGCUCACCAAGGCGACGAUGCGUAGCUGGUCUGAGAGGACGAUCAGCCACACUGGGACUGAGACACGGCCCAGACUCCUACGGGAGGCAGCAGUGGGGAAUCUUGCGCAAUGGGCGGAAGCCUGACGCAGCAACGCCGCGUGUGGGAAGACGGCCUUCGGGUUGUAAACCACUUUCAGGGGGGACGAAGCUUCCGAGGUUAAUAGCCUACGGGGUGACGGUACCCCCAGAAGAAGCCCCGGCUAACUACGUGCCAGCAGCCGCCGUAACAC